GCCGGGUGUGGUGGCAGGCGCCUGUAGUCCCAGCUACUCGGGAGGCUGAGGCAGGAGAAUGGCGUGAACCCGGGAGGUGGAGCUUGCAGUGAGCCGAGAUCGCGCCACUGCACUCCAGCCUGGGCGACAGAGCGAGACUCCGUCUCAAAAAAAAAAAAAAAAGAAUCUUGCUCUGUCGCCCAGGCUGGAAUGCAGUGGCACAAUCUCGGCUCACUGCAGCCUCUGCCUCCUGGGUUCAAGCGACUCUUCUGCCUCAG
rnacentral:SRP_RNA from 1 species